GGACCAAACUUAUCGCUUGCUGCAUAUACAAGUUGGUAAAAUGGUUCACAAAAACUCUGCUGUUUACAUGAUUCCGUUCAUCCUAUUGCUGUUGCUUGCAUCCAAUACACUAGUAGUGUGUUCUGAUUUUUCCCCAGCAACAAAAAUCAAAGAAAACAGUAGGUUUCAUUGGGGCAUAAGGAAAAUCGGCGUACGAAAGCCUCCUACACCGGGAGGUCCUCAAGGUGAUCAAGGUGGCAACAUACCUUGACAUGAUGCAGAGAUCUAGCACAAUUUUUUUUUUUCUUUCUUUCAAGAUCUGGCAUAAAUAACCACGUGGUGUGGUGUGUUGGUCGAACGGCCUAAUCUAGAACCCCCAGGUCUAGCAUUCGAAUCCUAGCUCCAUCCUGUGGCUAGCAGAUUUGAGGGACUCUUUGGGUUCGUGCGUCUGCUGUGCAAUAGAUUAGUCUGGCUUUCGCUGCAAUGUCGGUGCAGGUGUCCUAGUGCUGGGAUACCACUGCAUGGGUGUGUGAGUUACUAACAGCUAACUACCCGAUCAAAAAAAGAUCUGACAUAAAUAUAAUGAAAUACUGUUUGCAUAAAAACAUUUAGUGUUUUUUUUUUU